GACAGAGGGGCGUAGAUAAGAGCCAAGGAGUGAGUGGCGGAUGCUGAUCCCACAAGGGAAUGGACAUUUACAAUUCAUUCUUUAAGAUAAGAGGAUAUUUUUUGAAACCAUUUCUUUCGAGAUGCGAAGAAUAUUCCUAGUCUGUCUAACUUUUGUAAUAGUUACCGCGGAGUGGGUCCUUCAAACAUUCUCUAUUAAUAUUCCUCGGCCGAUAAAUGGAAAGCAAGAAUGAGAGCAGGACGAAUCCGCUCUUACUGGUCUCAUAUCCCCACUUCCUCAAUCUCUGUAACCCGACCAUGCCCUAGCUCAAGUUAGCUUGAAGCGAAGGAAGACGGGGAAUUUUAGAAAUCUAAACAAGACGGCGUACGGGUAGGUGAGCUGUAGUAGGUUCAAAGAAAGAAGUCUGAGUCCGCAGUAAGCGCUGGUUUGGCCUUUUGCCGGGUAACUUUUAUAUUAUUAGCUUCCUUUUGCGGGUAUUCAUUCCUCUUCUGGUUGAAGUUCCUUGUCUGAAAGCCCUACCCAGUGAAAAAAAAAUUACACAUUAAAUCGGGCAAGGAUCACUCUACAGGUAGGCCUGUUUCAGCCGAAGUAGGUUCAAAGUCGGCAGAGAAAGAAAUCGUUCCAACUAGGCCAGCAUAGACGGAAUUGGAGCUAGCCUUUUCAGAGGCCGGUUUCAUUCUUUCAUCGUGGGUAGACGGUCGCCGGGUAUGAGCCCCCUGGUGGGGAUGCGGCUUCUCUCGUUUCAGCAUCUCGAUCCGCAAAAGGAGUAGUUGAAAAGUCCGGUGACUAAGCUUUUCUUUGAAGGCCGGUUGAUGCCGGGCGAAGUUAGCCUUACCAAUUGGCCGAUAACGAGUUAUUAAUAGCAAGCACAUAAGCCGGAAAGCAGCUAGCCACCUCUUCAAGUGGCACAUAUUCUAUACCCGAUUCUGCGUAGUUCAGUAGAAGAUAUCCCCUUUUCACCGCCUUCUGAUUCACCGAUCGCAAGUCACCACGCGCAAGCCGUGAAGUCGGAAUAAAUGGUUCCUUAGUAAGCCAAGUCAUCGAAGUCGGUUCGUGGUAAGCUCCUUGCUUCAGAGUCGUAGGUUAGGGAAAGCGGUUGAUCGGCCGGUGCAUCGAAAUAAGGGCAGGUUGCUCGCGAAGGAAGGGAGGAGUCUUUGCAGCAAGACUUUAGUCAAGGAAAAGACUCCUUCCUCCUUCGUUCACGACUCCGGUGAUAUUUUUCGACUGCCUCCACAAUAAGA
rnacentral:misc_RNA from 1 species